UAGACAUACUAGGGGAGUCAUUAUGACUGAGAUGUUCAAUUGAACGGACCCUUUGAACCUGUGAGUUGAGACUCGCGUAGGGAAGUAGUCUAAGGAAUAG
rfam:Enterococcus sp. 9E7_DIV0242 scaffold00003, whole genome shotgun sequence.